rnacentral:rRNA from 1 species
UACAGGGGGUGCAAACGUUGCUCGGAAUCAUUGGGCGUAAAAGCGCACGUAGGCGGUUCGUUAUGUCGGAUGUGAAAGCCCUUGGCUUAACCGAGGAAGUGCAUCCGAAACUGGCGAGCUAGAGUACGAAAGAGGAUCGCGGGAAUUCCCGGUGUAGAGGUGAAAAUUCGUAGAUAUCGGGGAGGAACACCGGUGGCGAAGGCGGCGAUCUGGGGUCGAUACUGACGCUGAGGUGCGAAAAGCGUGGGGGAGCAAACAGGGAUUAGAAA